CCACGUUGAAGGCUGUGUUGGAAUUCCAACGAUAGCUGGUACUUCAGUGUAUACAAGGUCUGAUGACAGAACAUACCCGUGGACCCAAAGAACACCAACACAUUCGGAACAUGAGAGUUUGUCUCAGACGACAGUUAAGAUUUCUGAUAAAACGACUUUACCUCAGGUUCUUGAUGCAACUACAAACGGAGAAAGCAUGGACAAUAGUGUUCAAGCACUGUUGUCAAGAGAAAUUAUUGUGUAUCUUACAUUAUCAGUCUUAGUUUUGAUUUUUGGAAUAUGCUUAUGCUUUAUAUUCUACAAGUACAAGACAGUGAAAAAAAAGAAGAAAGCAACAAUCACACAAUCACAAAACCCAACUCAAAACUGUCAUAAUAUCGAAAUGGAGGAACGUUUGUAUGACAUUAUCGAUGACGCAGACAUGCUAGAAGAACAACUGUUGAAGGAAAUUCAAAUAUCGCCUGAUUACCUCGAUGUAAUAAGCGGAUCAAACAGCACCGGAAGUGGUGAAGGCAAAAAUGUAGAAAACCAUGAAAACAAUUUCGAGUCACUGUCAACUGAUCAGAUAAAAAUGCUCGUAAACAAAGUAAUUUGUAGUUCUCUGAAUAAUAGAGAAAGUACCUCAUCUUCUGGUGAAGAUCGCCCGGAAACAAAACAAGAUUACUUAAAUACAUAUCAGUCUGUGAUUAAAACGUCACCACCAAAUAUUACAGAGUAUCUUACAUUAGCAACCGUACACAGCAGGACAGACAGUAGUGGGGUCAAUAACAAAUCAGGCGUAUUCAGUAAAGAUGAAAAUAUACUCCAGUAUCCCAUAGACCUAGAGGAGAUCGGUUUACGUCGGCCUUAUGAAUACGAGAAUUCUUCAAUUAGCAUUGGAUGUGUAUUUCCUCGGCGUUGUUUAUCAAGUAUAAGAGGACGGGAAUCGAAGUCGUGCGAUAAUUUGAAUAGCAUCCGGUUGAAAAUAAAAACAUUUUCCGGAAAAGACGAUAACAAUAAAACAUCAAGUGAAGACAAAAGCAUUGACUAUUAUAAUCUAUUUAAAACUAAAUCAGAAAGUGAUAUAUUUUGUAAGCAUAAUCCGGAGAAAUAAUGACUCAGCUCGGCAUAAUGGCACACUUUACUCAGUUUUUAUCCUGAUUAAAAGAAAUCAGCGUAUGAGCAAGCAUGUGGUGCCUUUAGAA